UGCUAGUCGCACGAGUUUAGACUCGUGGCAGAUAGCUCAGUAACACGUGGCCAAACUACCCUGUCGAUCGGGACACCCUCGGGAAACUGAGGCUAAUCCCGGAUACGGCUCGCUGCCUGGAGUUGGCGCGAGCUCGAAACGUUCAGGCGCGACAGGAUGUGGCUGCGGCCGAUUAGGUAGACGGUGGGGUAACGGCCCACCGUGCCGAUAAUCGGUACGGGUUGUGAAAGCAAGAGCCCGGAGACGGAAUCUGAGACAAGAUUCCGGGCCCUACGGGGCGCAGCAGGCGCGAAACCUUUACACUGCACGCGAGUGCGAUAGGGGGACUCCAAGUGCGAGGGCAUACAGUCCUCGCUUUUUGCGACCGUAAGGAGGUCGCGGAAUAAGUGCUGGGCAAGACCGGUGCCAGCCGCCGCGGUAAUACCGGCAGCACGAGUGAUGACCGCUAUUAUUGGGCCUAAAGCGUCCGUAGCCGGCCAGGCAAGUCCAUCGGGAAAUCCGCACGCCUAACGUGCGGGCGUCCGGUGGAAACUGCUUGGCUUGGGACCGGAAGAUCCAGAGGGUACGUCCGGGGUAGGAGUGAAAUCCUGUAAUCCUGGACGGACCACCGGUGGCGAAAGCGCUCUGGAAAGACGGAUCCGACGGUGAGGGACGAAAGCUUGGGUCACGAACCGGAUUAGAUACCCGGGUAGUCCAAGCUGUAAACGAUGUCUGCUAGGUGUGGCACAGGCUACGAGCCUGUGCUGUGCCGUAGGGAAGCCGUGAAGCAGACCGCCUGGGAAGUACGUCUGCAAGGAUGAAACUUAA
rnacentral:rRNA from 1 species